rnacentral:rRNA from 1 species
AGAGUUUGAUCCUGGCUCAGGAUGAACGCUAGCGGCAGGCUUAACACAUGCAAGUCGAGGGGCAGCGCGUUGUAGCAAUACGAUGGCGGCGACCGGCGAAAGGGUGCGUAACGCGUGAGCAACCUGCCCGUAUCCGGGACAUAAGCGGUGGAAACGCCGUCUAAUUUCCCAUAACAACGAGGGCCGCAUGGUCCAUGUUUGAAAGAUGCGUCGGAUACGGAUGGGCUCGCGAGACAUUAGCUAGUCGGCGUGGUAACGGCACACCGAGGCGACGAUGUCUAGGGGUUCUGAGAGGAAGGUCCCCCACACUGGAACUGAGACACGGUCCAGACUCCUACGGGAGGCAGCAGUGAGGAAUAUUGCGCAAUGGGCGGAAGCCUGACGCAGCGACGCCGCGUGAGGGAUGAAGGUUUUCGGAUCGUAAACCUCUGUUAAGCAGGGAAGAGAACGGACGGUACCUGCUGAGGAAGCAUCGGCUUACUACGUGCC